GAUGAACGCUGGCGGCGUGCCUAAUACAUGCAAGUCGAGCGAACGGACGAGAAGCUUGCUUCUCUGAUAUUAGCGGCGGACGGGUGAGUAACACGUGGAUAACCUACCUAUAAGACUGGGAUAACUUCGGGAAACCGGAGCUAAUACCGGAUAAUAUUUUGAACCGCAUGGUUCAAAAGUGAAAGACGGUCUUGCUGUCACUUAUAGAUGGAUCCGCGCUGCAUUAGCUAGUUGGUAAGGUAACGGCUUACCAAGGCAACGAUGCAUAGCCGACCUGAGAGGGUGAUCGGCCACACUGGAACUGAGACACGGUCCAGACUCCUACGGGAGACAGCAGUAGGGAAUCUUCCGCAAUGGGCGAAAGCCUGACGGAGCAACGCCGCGUGAGUGAUGAAGGUCUUCGGAUCGUAAAACUCUGUUAUUAGGGAAGAACAUAUGUGUAAGUAACUGUGCACAUCUUGACGGUACCUAAUCAGAAAGCCACGGCUAACUACGUG
rnacentral:rRNA from 1 species